CGGGGGGCUGCAGCAGCAACGAAUAUUCCGCAAUGGGCGCAAGCCUGACGGAGCGACGCCGCGUGGAGGAUGAAGUCCUUCGGGAUGUAAACUCCUGUCAGGGAUUAGGAACACAAUGACCAUUCCCAAAGGAAGCACCGGCUAAUUCCGUGCCAGCAGCCGCGGUAACACGGAAGGUGCAAGCGUUGUUCGGAAUCACUGGGCUUAAAGAGCGUGUAGGCGGAAAGGAAGGUGCCAUAGUGAAAUCCCUCGGCUCAACCGAGGAACUGCUUGGCAAACCAUCUUUCUUGAGACAGGCAGAGGCGACUGGAACGUUCGGUGGAGCGGUGAAAUGCGUAGAGAUCGAACGGAACACCAGUGGCGAAAGCGGGUCGCUGGGCCUGUCCUGACGCUGAGACGCGAAAGCGUGGGUAGCAAACAGGAUUAGAUACCCGAGUAGUC
rnacentral:rRNA from 1 species